CAAGGAUGCAUUCCGUUCUUUUACUCGUUGAGUACGUCCACGCGCUCGUAUGUAGCGUCCACCCAAGAUGGCGAGCUUUGUGGAUUUCUUCCACAAGGGAAAGUCAUCGGUGCAGACGUUCCGGCCAAAGAAGAAGUUUGAGCCGGGCACAAUGCGAUACUCGCUGCACAAGCAGGCCCAGGCGUCUCUCAACUCGGGCAUCAAUCUGCGUGAUGCGGUGCGGCUGCCGCCCAGGGAGGACAUGAACGACUGGCUGGCGGUGCAUGUGGUGGACUUCUUCAACAGGAUAAACCUCAUCUAUGGCACCAUUUCUGACUACUGCACUGAGGAGAGCUGUCCCAGAAUGUCAGGGGGCCCAAAGUUCGAGUACCUCUGGUGCGAUGGUCAAAAGUACAAGAAGCCUACCCCGCUGCCAGCGCCGCAGUAUAUUUCGCACCUCAUGGACUGGGUGGAAGCACAGAUCAACAACGAGGAAAUCUUCCCCGUCACUUGUAAUGUCCCAUUUCCCAGGAACUUCGUGCCUACGUGCAAGAAGAUCUUGGCUAGGCUGUUUCGGGUCUUUGUGCACGUCUACAUCCACCAUUUCGACAGGCUUGUCGCCAUAGGAGCGGAGGCCCACGUCAACACAUGCUACAAGCACUUCUAUUACUUCAUCACUGAAUUUGACCUAGUAAGCCAAAAGGAGCUAGAACCCUUGACGGAGAUGACGAGGAAAGUCUGCAAAGACAUGGUAAUUCUGAGCCCCCGUCACAGAUGAAAAGCGAGAGAGACGGCACCAUGCACGGCCGCCGUUUUACCUCUCUUUGUGAUGUCUGCAAUUUGCUGUGCUCCCCCCGCCUUCGUCCGUCAACAACUCGUUACGUCCACUGGUUAACGCAACAUAGAUGUCACCGUAGUUACCGGUACUAUACCACCGACCUUAACGGAACGGGAACCUCUUCUAGUCUUGCUGGCACGGACACUGCUGGUGAAAAUUCGCACAAGCUAGAAGCAUUUUCUU
rnacentral:misc_RNA from 1 species